rnacentral:rRNA from 1 species
UACGGAGGAUCCGAGCGUUAUCCGGAUUUAUUGGGCUUAAAGGGUGCGUAGGCGGCCUAUCAAGUCAGAGGUGAAAGCCGGUAGCUCAACUAUCGCAGUGCCUUUGAAACUGGUGGGCUUGAAUGUACUUGAGGUGGGCGGAAUGUGACAAGUAGCGGUGAAAUGCAUAGAUAUGUCACAGAACCCCGAUUGCGAAGGCAGCUCACUAAGGUAUGAUUGACGCUGAUGCACGAAAGCGUGGGGAUCAAACAGG